UAGUUUAAUCCUAGUUAAAAUCUUAUUGGACUUCAAUCAAACUUUAGGCCAAAAACUAACUAAAUUUUAAAUUCUAAACAAAUCCUAAUUUCUAAAUUAACUCCUAAUCAAAUCCUAAUCAUAAAUCAAAUCCUAAUCAAAUCUUAAAUCCUAAAUCAAAACUUAAUCAAAUCCUAACCCUAAAUCAAAUCCUAAUCAAAUUCUAAAUCCUAAACCAAAUCCUAAUCAAAUCCUAAACUCUAAAUCAAAGCCUAAUCAAAUCUUAAAUCCUAAAUCAAAUCCUAAUAAAAUCCUAAAUCAAAUCCUAAUCAAAUCCUAAUCAAAUCCUAAAUCCUAAAUUAAAACUUAAUCAAAUCCUAACCCUAAAUCAAAUCCUAACCAAAUUCUAAAUCCUAAACCAAACUCUAAUAAAAUCUUAAAUUCUAAACCAAAGCCUAAUCAAAUUUUAAAUCCUAAAUUAAAUCCUAAUCAAAUCCUAAUCAAACUCUAAAUCCUAAACCAAAUCCUAACCAAUUCCAAGUAAUUUCUAUAACAGAUUUAAACCUCAAUAACUAAUGAAUGAACUAUUGAUUUUAACUCAAAAUUUGCGUGUUUUUUAACAAUUUAGUUGAUAACAAAUAAAAAAAAAUGAAAAAGAUCAAAAUUACUAAAUAGAC
rnacentral:lncRNA from 1 species